rnacentral:rRNA from 1 species
GACAGAGGCCUCGAGCGUUAGGCGGAAUCACUGGGCUUAAAGCGUGUGUAGGCGGGCCCGUAAGUGUCUUGUGAAAUCCCACGGCUCAACCGUGGAACUGCUGGGCAUACUGCGGGUCUUGGGCCAACUAGGGGCAGCCGGAACAAGCGGUGGAGCGGUGAAAUGCGUAGAUAUCGCUUGGAACGCCGAAGGUGAAAACAGGCUGUUGGGGUUGCGCCGACGCUGAGACACGAAAGCCAGGGGAGCAAACGGG